GCUUGUGGUUUAAUUCGAUGCAACGCGAAAAACCUUACCACUUCUUGACAUGGAGGCUAGAUCCUUCUUAACGGGAGGGCGCAGUUCGGCUGGGCCUCGCACAGGUGCUGCAUGGCUGUCGUCAGCUCGUGUCGUGAGAUGUUGGGUUAAGUCCCGCAACGAGCGUAACCCUCAUCCUUAGUUACCAGCGGGUAAUGCCGGGCACUUUAAGGAAACUGCCAGUGAUAAACUGGAGGAAGGUGGGGAUGAUGUCAAGUCAGCACGGCCCUUAUGGGGUGGGCUACACACGUGCUACAAUGGCGACUACAAUAGGUUGCAACGUCGCAAGGCUGAGCUAAUCCGUAAAAGUCGUCUCAGUUCGGAUUGUCCUCUGUAACUCGAGGGCAUGAAGUCGGAAUCGCUAGUAAUCGUGGAUCAGCAUGCCACGGUGAAUACGUUCUCGGGUCUUGUACACACUGCCCGUCACGCCAUGGGAAUUGGCUUAACUCGAAGCUGGUGCGCCAACUGUAAGGAGGCAGCCAUUUAAGGUUGGGUCGGUGACUGGGUG
rnacentral:rRNA from 1 species